rnacentral:lncRNA from 1 species
CCCGCGGACAGCUGGGCCAGGGUGCGGGCCUGCGCCUCCCUCGGCUCCUGGCGCGGGCCUCGGGGAGAGGCUCUAAGAUGGAGGACAGCGAUAUCUGCCCUAGGCACACCACAGGGUGAUUGCAGGGUUGACACUGCCUGCCUGAAAACGAAGGAGCGCCGGUUCUCAACCCGGCAACCAGUAGAAUCGCUUGGGAAGCCUCCAAAUGCUGAUGCCCCAUCAUCACCGGGGAAUUGUGAUCUGCGGCCAGGACCGAGAUCCACGGGCCCAGAGUGAAAUGACAGUACUGUGAUCACGACUGGAAUAUGCACUUCGCCGAACGUGGAUCACAGUCUUGAGAAAGCAAGCAGCUGGGUUUUUGUUUUGUUUUUUUUCCAAGAAGACAGGGACCUAAUCUGGUUUGCUCGCAUUUAAUUCCUAGUGCCUAGAAUGGUGCAUGUCCCAAAACAUGCACCAUUGAUUAAAUAAUUUCUGAUUACUUCCCGACCUAUUUGGAGGGUUUUCAUUAUAUUUGUUUUAAAAUUAUUAUGGAAACCUUCAAGUCAUAUAUGAAAAUUGAAUAGUAACUGAACUCCCAAUUCAUGAUCAAUUCUGUUUCAUCUGUUACCCUCUCCCCCACUGUAGUAUUUUGAAGCAAAUCUGAAAUGUACCAUUCCAUCUGUUACCUUGUUCAUGUUUAUAAAACACAAUAACACCUUUUUAAAACAUAAAGCCAUUAUCAGUGUACUUAGCACUUCAUUUUACCCUCUACUAUCCAGUCAGCAUUUACAUUUUCCUAGUUGUCUCUUUCCUCUUACCCAGUUUGUCCAAAUCAGUAUCCAAACAAUCUACACACGUUAUAUUUGGUUGAUGUCUCUUAGAUCUCUCUUAAUCUUUUUCUCUUGCUCUUUAUUUUGUUCCCUGUAUUUUACUUGAACAAGUCAUUUGUACGGUUCACGUUUUCUACAACCAGGAUUUUGCUUUUUCCAUCUCUGGUAUCCUUUAAUAAGCAGGUAUUUAGACCUGCAGACUUGUUCAGGUCAGGUUCGAUUUUUUGGCAAGAGAACUUAAUGGGGGAUUACUGUGUUUUUCACAUUGUAUCAUACCAGGAGUUAGAUAGCAUCUUGCCUCUCUUUGUGGACCUUUUAUGUACAAGUAGCACCGUAGGGUAACAAUUGACCAGGGAAUGCCAGCAAAUACAUGCAAAAGAAAUGAGAGAAUAUCACCUUUUGGCAACCCCUAAUGAAAUAAUGGAUCCUGGCAAUGAUCACUAGCGGCUGUUAACGUCAGAAAGAGAGACAGCUAGACAAUGCGUGCUGCCUAAUGGGGUACUCCCAUCAGACAGCACACCGUUUGUCUUAUCAAGUAUUCUUGGAGUAAUGGGGGUGGUGUGUAUAGAUGAAACAUGAUUGCCUAUGAGUUAACAGUUGUUGAAGUUCAAUGAUGGGUGUAUGGCAUUGCAUUAUGCUAAUCUCUACUUCUGUAUGUGUCUGAAGUUUUUCAGAAUAAAACUUUUUUUAAAAAGA